GAUGAACGCUAGCGGCAGGCCUAAUACAUGCAAGUCGAGGGAGAAUGUUGGAUUCGUCUGACAUGAAACCGGCGCACGGGUGCGUAACACGUAUGCAGCCUACCUUUAACUGGGGUAUAGCUCAGAGAAAUCUGAAUUAAUCCCCCAUAAGACUACGACAUGGCAUCAUGAUGUAGUUAAAGCUCCGGCGGUUAAGGAUGGGCAUGCGGUACAUUAGCUAGUUGGUGGGGUAAUGGCUCACCAAGGCUACGAUGUAUAGGGGGUCUGAGAGGAUGAUCCCCCACACUGGUACUGAGACACGGACCAGACUCCUACGGGAGGCAGCAGUAGGGAAUAUUGGUCAAUGGACGCAAGUCUGAACCAGCCAUGCCGCGUGAAGGAUGAAGGCCCUAUGGGUCGUAAACUUCUUUUAUUAGGGAAGAAAAAACGGGAUGCGUCCUGUACUGACGGUACUUAAUGAAUAAGGAUCGGCUAACUUCGUGCCAGCAGCCGCCGUAA
rnacentral:rRNA from 1 species